UCUUCAUUAAUUACCCAGUGUGAGGUAGUUCUUUAUAGCAGCGUGAGAACAAAAUAAUACAGAUAGUUUCUUCCUAACCCAAACCUUAUUAUGGAAUAAUAGGUGAAUUCUCCACCUCUGCCAGGAAGGAAUUAAGAGGGAGAGAAAAUGAACCUCAACCACUACCACUGAAAAAGUGGUGCAGUAAAAAUAGGCAUUUGGGAGACACUGAGCUGGAAGAUCUACAAUUCUAGCUCCUAAGAUCACCAUGUUCACUCCUAUAACGUGUAGGCAUGGCAAGAUAGUGGCAUCUCAGCAGAUUAAAUUAUUUUCAAAAAUAAUGGGCUUCUUUUAUAGGCUACAGAUUUACUAUAAAAUAAUUUGAGCUAUUUUCCUCUUUGGCUCCCCAAGGAGAUAAAUAAGAAUUUGUUUUCUGGAUAUUUGGGAUUUUUCUCCAAGGAACAGUUAGGCUAUUGUAUUCAAGGUCAAUCAUCAGUUAAAUAAAUUUAAAAAAACUAUUUUGCUAAAGUAGCAACAUAUUCUGCACUCUUGGAAUGUGACUGAACUCUAUAAUACAGUGUAAGUGGCACUAUGCCAAUUUCACAGGUAGCCUGGGCUAGUUUGGUCUGGCUUCCCACUUCCUGUCUGCCCCACAGUUUUGUCAAAGGCACAGCUUACAGAGAGAGAAAGGCCAAUGUCCAAAAUGGAAAAAAAAGAGAGAGAGAGAGUUCUUCAGCAGGAAUGUACCUAAAGCUUGUCACUUAAUGAUAAUUAGACUUGGGUAGGAGGAAUGAAAGGAAGAUUCAUUAUCAGACAGCUGUUUUUUUUUUUUCACUAGAAUUUGGUUUAGAGGAGAAAUGUGAACUGUCAUAACUAAUAUCAACCAUGCUGGUAUCUCUUUCAAAUACAUAAAUACCAAAACUGAGGGCAGAAACCCCAGGAUAGAAAGCUACAUGCCAUGCCAUUUGGGAUUAUUUCCUUUUUAUUUGUAAGAGAUCAAACAUGAUUAAUAUCUGCCCUAACUCAAAAGGAAACAUUGUUAGCUUAAAGAAAAGCUCUUCUAAUUCUCCUCAUCUUACCUGAACUGAACACCUUCUCUGAUGGACAUUGAUACCCUCCAAAUAACAUUUCUUUGGAAAGUGCACCAUCUUUUCUCAUAGCUAAAAAGUGUAUGAAAUAUGGCAUAAGUGGAAAAACAGUAUAUCCUUUAAGAUGAUGACAACGUUAGGUUUAUGUUAGGGCCUCACACUCUUGCCUCAGGGGAAGAAACGGAAGAGAGAGAUGAUAAUGAGAAAUUUAUCUGAUUCUACUGAGGCCUUGCCUAAAAAUUCAAUUCUUCAGAUUUUUAAUAUGUGCUCACUUUUGUCCUUCAGAUAUUGGAAGGUACUCAAUAUUGUAUGAACAUUCUCUGGUGGUUCGUGAAAUCAUGGUGACUUGGGUCUGGGCCCAAUCUCAAUUCAUUUGCAAGGAGUCAAUCUGAAGACCUGUGACCACAAUGAGGAAUUUCAAAGGGGAUCUUCAGUACUGCCUGGAUAUUUUAAAUGGACAACCAGAUAGCACAGGAAGCAGCCCAGCUCCAGAUUCUAGGCUCGCAGAUGGUGAUGCUGGAAAGGGGAAAAGAAACGUUGGUUGAAUCUGCAGAGAAGGGACCCACAGAUAUGGAGCACCCACUGUUUACCAGACACUGAGCUAGGUAUUUGGGAUGCCACAGAAGAGUAUCAAGAAUCACCCCUGCCCUCAAGCAGCUUUUAACCAUUGAGCAGACACCAGGGAAGGGCCAGAGGAGCAGCGUGGGUGGAAAAGGAUAUUGUGAGACUUUGACAGAAGUAGGAGUAGGAGGGAUAUGGGAGGAAUCGGACUUGUUUGGCCUUUUAGGGUUUUCGGCAUAAAUCUUUGGAAUUACUGCAUCAAUAGUUUAUGUGUACUUACUUAAGGUAAGACUCUAUUCUGCUUUUUUUCCCCUAGACUUUUUGGAAAGCAUGUUCAGAAAGCCUCUUAUCUUCCCUAGCACAAAGAUUGUUUUAACUCUAGCUUAAAUAACAAUAGUAAAAGUGAUCAGGGUAGCUAUCAUUUGUUGAAAACUUACUGUGUGCCAGACCCACUGAUAAGAACUGUGAGUUAACAGAUGAUUCAUUCAUGGCCCAAAGGAGCCCUGUCUUUCCUGAGUUUUCAAGUUCUAUACAGAAAGGUCUCCUGUUUAGCCUUGCUAAACUUCGCACUGAGGAGGGGGCCUACCUCGGGAGUCCCAAAUGAGUGUUACAAAGCACAAUUCAUAAACAUGUCCGACAACUUCCUGAGGAAAGAGCUUUCCAGAACCCACACACCAAAUCAAAUAGUUAAGAAGAAAAUGAGAAAAAGGUUUUAAUUUAAAUCAAUUAUACUUUUAAAUUAUUUUCUUCACACAAUUUAUUAGAAGAAGAAGAAAACCCCCUAAAGUUCUGAAGAAAUAUUAACAUAACAUGCCUGUAACUCAUGCUGUGUUUAAUGAGAGGUGCUGUUUUUCCUGCCAUGGGGCCAUAGCCCAAUGAGUGAUGGCUCUGAAAAGGGUCACAUACAUAUUCAUCAAAUUCGACAUGCACAUGUAAACUGGUUUUAAUAGGCCAUGACAGCAGAAGUUGUGUCGGGCAAAUAGCUGCAUAUGUGCUCCUUUCCUCCACUGGCACAUUUAGCCAUUAACACUCUGGUAUCCAUGGAUGAAAUAUUAGCUUGUUAACUUCAGGCCAUCAGUUGUUGUUGAUUCUCAGUAGCAACUGAGGGAAGAGAUCCCCUCUGCUACUUUAUUAGGGGAGAAGCUUGAACUUCAAGAUGCUCAUUUCACUUUCAUGGUGUCAUUAAUACUAUUUUGUUCCCUGAACUUGGAGUCCAGAAGAUGCAUGAAAAUUGUUCUGACAAAAAUUGAUAUUAUACCCAGUUCAAACCUACAGAUGGCAUGGGACAAAAACUGAUAUAUCCAGUUCAAACCCACAGAUGGCAUAGGUUUUAAAACUUUUUCUUAAUACAUUUCAAUGCAAGAUCCAUUUUCUUCAACUGUCAACCAUUUUGAAGGUCAUCAAAGCAUGCAUGGUUGUUGGUUAAGUGGACAUUAGCAGCAAUUAUGCAUCCUUCUAAGACUCUCUCCUUCGUUUUUUGAUGAAUAGAUUGUCAAGUUCAGAAGUGAACUAAAUUAUCACAGUGCAACCGAAGCUACACUCGAUUCAUUUUAAAAAAAGGACCCUCAAGUAAUAAAGUGAGAUGUCUAUGUUUUCUAGAAGCUACCAUACAAGAACAAGACCCAAAGCCCAUUAUUUCAAGACACUCAGGCCCUGAGUUAACAUUGAUAGAUUAUCUUUUUGCAACCAUCUGGAGGCCCCUGGCUACCUCAACCAUCAACUGUUGGAUACCUAUAUUUAGUUAAACAGAAGAAUCUUUCAUGGACCAUUUACAUUUAGCCUGUUCUGUCAGUCAAGUUUCUUCCUAGAUUGAGUUGGUGUUUUGUUCUACUUUCUGUUAAACAAACAGCUGUACAUUUGAAUCACCAAGGUACUGGGUCUAACCAAAGUGACCUUUACAUAACAUGUUGAGGAAGAGUUUCAUAGCUUGGAAACAAAUCUGUCAUUCAUAGUCAAUCACAUUUUAUUACUGAUCUCUUGUUCCUCAUCCCCAUCCUUUCCUGCUUCUUCUCCAAAUCAGCGAUGAAUCCUUGCCAAAAAAAAAAAAAAAAUUCUGCCCUUUAUUCACCAAUAAGUGUUCCAGAUCGUCACAUGCUUAAAAUAGGAUCAACUUUAGUUGCCAAGAUAGUAAACAACACAAUAAAAUAAUUUAUCCACUAAUAAAAUUAUACUAUAUGGUGAGAAAAUAUAUUAAAAAAGUAAUUAGUUGAAUAAAUUAACUGGAUAUUUGUCUCUUUGUCAUGAAUAUAUUUUCCUUGGCAGAAGGAAGUAUAUGUAGGACCCCUGUUUUUUUUUUAGCUUCCUCAUAUUUAGUUGUGAAUGAAGAAUACACUGGAUCCAACCCUAUGGGUAUUAUACAGGGAACAAUUUUCUAAAAGAAACCUACAAACACUCCAAUAUCAGAUACUGUACUGUUCAAGUUAGAGGUAUCAGAUCUAUUCUGGCUUUUUCAAUGGAAUAUAUUUGUCUUCAUUCUCAGACUUGGUGUCUUGGGACAAGAUAAUUUAAGGAAGACUGCGAUUAACAUAGGCCAGCUCUCCCUUGUAAUAUAUGAGUGGGCUCAAUACAAUGUAUUCUAAUGCUGCAUUACAAUACAGUGAUUUUUAUGCCCCACCUUCCAUACAUUUAAGAGUUGUGAGUGACUUUACAUGUUUUGAGCUACUCUCAAUUGAGAAGAUUAUCACCAUGUCAAUAAGUGACAUAAUGUGUGUUCAGUAUUUUCCCAGUUCUGGCUUAGGCUCAUUAGACCACCACUGCCAAAGAACACAGGGCACAAUUUGCUUGAUUUCUGCUUUUUUAGAAAAAAAGGCCCUCCAUUUCUAACUGUUCUAAUUACAUUUCAGUGCAAUUAGGAAACUCAUCCCUAGAAAGCAAAGUUGCUUUCUGUGACUGGUGAGCAGAGGCAGAAAAUGAAAGGCCGGCUCUUCCUUGGCACUGCUGCCCAUCACUAAGAGGCGGGAAUGACUGGUGAACUUGGCUGAUUCAGGAAAAUGCCAUCUGGUAUAGAUUUCCUUUCAAUUCAUUGGGAGGAAUUCAGGAUCAUGGGCAAUAAUUGAAAGCUGUUGUCUUGGGGUGAUAUUUUAUUUAGCUCCUUUCUUUCUACUUAGUUUCUGGAAACCAGGCUAUCUGCCCUAACACACAUCUACUUAUUCUACCUGUAUUCACACUGCUGACAAAUCCCUCUUAAGCUAAGAGUGCACACCCAUAAAUAAUGUGCAGUUUGCAUUUAUUCUUCUCCAAAGUGCUGUAAACAUCAAGGCCUACUUAUCGGAGGUGUAUGCAUGGUAACAGAGGGUCAUUGAGAACUAGGGCCAAAUGAAUUGAAGUAAGCAGAAUGAAUGGCGUUGUUGGUCAUAACUGAACGCUGUGUCUGAAUUGAGUCCACUCAAAGUAGAUCACAUAUGACUUUAAUCCACUGCUCUGCCCAGCUUUCUCAGAAGAUAAAUCUGUCUCCAGCUGUUAUUUACAUAUUAUCAUUUUACUGUAUGUCACUGUCAUAGUUUCAGACUUGAGUAAAUCCACAUUUAAAUAGCGAUUUGUCUCCUUUUGAUAGUAAAUAUUCUCGUAAGUGGUGGUUAGGAUUAAAGGGAAUUUGUCGACAGUAGGUAAAUGAAAUUAUACACUCAGCCAAGAGAGCCUUCAUUGGGAAGCCCAGUCCAGCAGGUGCCAGUUGUCCCACAAAAUUCCCCCUUUGAAGGUAGAGUGAUAAUUCCCUGAAAGGAGAAAAAGAAAAGGAGGGGUGGAGGAAAUGCAUAUACAAAUGUUCUCAGCUCUCCAGACUCCCUGGGAGGGGGCAAAGCCUGCCCCAAACAGCCCUGGAGACACCACCACUUAAAGGUUAGCAAAGAGUUCUUUUGAGGUGACAUUUAAACCUUUAAUAGCUCCCAGCCAGCUUGAGGAGGAAUAAUUUUCUCUCCCUGAAAGCUGGGAGCCAGCACUGCUCAGUUACCUGUCUACAGAGGAUGUCAGGGUGUGGAGGAAACCCAAGUGGGGCAAUUUGGGAGGAGGGGGCAGAGCCCGCCGGUGUCUGUGGGCCUUGCCCUCCGCCCUAAUUGCACCAAAGGCUGAAAAAAGCUUCAGGUUGCACGUUAGGCCCUUGCUGAGAUUAGCAAUUAUAAUAUCAGUUUCCCCCAAACAGGGCUGACAGAAUGGCUGGGGGAGCAGAGGUGACUUAAAGUUUAGUAAGUCUCGGGGAAAGUUUAUUGUCUCCUGCUGUUUUCUGGCCCACAAAUUUGGCCUUUCUACUACCCAGCACUGGCCACAAACAGUAGGAAUCCUUUUCAAUCACUAUUAGCAACACUUCAUUUCAGUCAUAUUUGACCCUUGGCAAACUACAACUCAGGGAAGAACAUUCUUUCCAGAAAGGAACCAGACAUCAUUCAGCUAGAGACGAUUUACUGUGGGACAUGGAGCUUAUUUGCUUUUGUUGAGCCCCUGGAGCUACUCAGCCUGUUAAAAUGGAUUGUCCUUUUGCACAGCCAUGCCGGUGGGAGGGUCAUUCCUGAGAGGCAGAGAGGGGGUGGAGGCCAGCCCUGGUCUUUAUCAACUUGUCAUCUGGUCCCAUUGCCCUGAGCCAGGAUCUUUGGAGUGCACUGCCUGCCCAAGUAACCUAUUUUGCAGCUUGUCUUGAAAGCAAGGCAUAUGUUAGGUAGUCAAGAACAUCCCUUUUCUCCUCCAUGUCAGGGCCAUAGUGGUGUCUCCUCCAGUUUUUGCUUAUAUUUAAUUUGCUUGGAUAUGAAGAAAGAAAAUAAAAGCUAACCAAAACACUGAAAUCUUGAAAAUGACUUCAAUCAACAGAAAGGCACAUUUCCCCAGCUUUUCCUUAUAUACUACAUGAGACAGCAUUUGGAUUUUUAGUCUAUUUUUUUUCCUCUCCCAUCCAUUGUCUACCAUGGGAAUUUCUAAGCAGUGCUAAGAGGACCCUGACUCAACAGUCUCCUCUCCCACCUGGGUAUCUUUCAUUGUUAUUAAAGAAAGUGGGUAAAGGGGAGUUACUGUUUAACGGUACAGAGUUUCUGUUGGGGAUGAUGAAAAAGUGUUGGGUGUUGAUAACGGUGAUGAUUCUAGAGCAUUGUGAUUGUACUUAAUGCCACUGAAUUGUAUACCUAUGAAUGGCUAAAAGGAUAAAUAUUAUGUACAUUCACAAUAUUAAUCUAAUGUUAAUAUUAAUAAUUAAUAUUAACUCAGCCCCUAUAUGGCUGAAAUGUCUGACUGGUGCUUUCUUUCCUAGCAUCUUCUCCUAGGAAGCAGAUGGUCUUCACAGUGACCUGUAUAGUAAGGAAGGUUAAGGCAGCCACAAAGAACCAACCUGGGCUUGCUUCAGAUGGAACUAGAAACAGAGAUGGGACAGCCAGAAUUAGAAUGCACGUCACUGGGCAGAAACAUGGACAACCCACUAAAACAUGACCUUCAUGGGCGUGGAACACUCAGAUGGCUUACAGGCUGCAAAUUAGGAACAAGAUGGGCCUAAGUAAAAAUGAUGGGAACUGUCUUCUCACAAUAACCCACAGACAUUUAAAGAGGUGAGAGAUAUGGAUUUCCAGAAAACCACACAUAUUUGGGGGAAAAUAGGGGUCAUUCUCCAGAGGCUUUGAUCCAUUAGUUGGCAUUUCACAAAAGGCGGCCAGACCGUGUUGAUUCGACAACAGAGGUGUAAGCUGGGACAAAUUAAUUUACACUGCUUCAUGUGGGAAAGGCAACAAGGCCUGAUAUGUCCAUUACUAGUCUUAAGAAAAAGUAUUUGUGCAAUGUUAACACAGUUUAUACAGUUUAUGAAAUCAACAAAUGAUUUGAUCUUUUGCAAGCACCAACACCCCUUGAAUAAGCUUUUCUGAAUUGCCCUGGUCAAUCCUUGUGACUUGUGUUUUAAGUACUCUUUUUAAGUUCAGAACAGUGUAAAAUUUAAAAUCCAAGCCGUAUUUUUCUUUCCUUUAUAAGAAUUUAAGCAUUGGGCUGAUUUUAGGCCUGAAGCUUUCAUUGAUGCUAGAGUCAAUCAUGAAUGACUAACCUAGACCUUCUAGGAGGAUUGCUAAUUGGUUGCGACUCAUUACCUGGAGCUAUAAGAAUGGCUAAAAAGAAGUAGCCCCAUCUGAGGAGAGCCUUCUAUGGUCACUUCAGCCUGGAAUUCAUUCCCUUUCUCUCAACACUUAACAGCGUUUUGAUUAUUUAUUGGUAAAUAAUCUGCUAAACUCUGGAAUCUCUGAGGUAGCCCAUGGAACAUACUGGACACAGAGAAUCUGGAUUUCCCAAGGCAUCAGUGUGCUUUGGGGCCAUACCUAGAAGCUACGCACCUCAAAUUCUGUGGUUUAUAAAGUUCAAUAAAUUGUCUCUACCUAUCUGAGAUAGAGGAAUGGACUAAAUGUGAGGUAGACUUCCAAGGGACAGGACCAUAUAAGUAGCAGAUUUAUUUUAUUCAGAAAGGGCAGCCCCUCAUAUAUAUUAGAAAAAUUAAAUCACUCAUUUCUCAUAUUCCAAAUACUACCACAAAUGAAAGCUGGCCUGGGACUCUCCCUGCCCCAGUCUUCACUGAGACCCUAAGGUGAUAGAUAUGAUGCACAAAGGGGUGGUAGAUGGACCCCCCCUCUCCUGUGCUUAUAAAGACUGAUAAAAAGAAUGAUCUCAGAAACUGUUUCCGAACUCUUUGACCACUCAACCAGAUGCAGCAGAUAAAAGAGAUUACAGAGGAAAGAGGAUUUUUUUCAAGAAGAGUGGGGAGGAUUUUUUUUUUGAGAGAGUUUCCAGUGUUGUCAUUUCAUCUUCCCUUCCUGUGGGUGAGUGGAAGGGGGUGUUCAUACUCACAUAAACCAAGUGAGCAGAGUUUCAGGAAACUACUUAACACGAGCUGGGUCCCUGACUAAUGCCUGACUCUUGGGAUGGUGAAUUUGGGUCUGCCUGCAGCCUCAGGCGUCCGAGGGCCCUUUGUGAUCGCAGGAAUGCCAGCACCUCUCAUGUGAUCUGGAGAAGGCUGGCUGGCUGCCUGCAUUGGUGGUGGAAGG
rnacentral:lncRNA from 1 species